rnacentral:misc_RNA from 1 species
GGUGUGUACUUGCGUUACCGUAAAGCUCGAUUCUCGAGCAGGCCCUUCGGGCCAGCUCUUCGAGGUCGCUAUAAAGGUAUAGCAUCAUAAGUGUAUAUAAAGUAUCAGCACACAUGAAUGAAUUGAGACAUGUUUAGUGAUCCAAUGUAUUGUGUUCAAAGGCUCCAUCCAACAUUUCAAAGACAUGUCAUAGCAGUGGAGCAAAUGGUGGCAAAUGAUGGCUUUGUGGUGGUUAGUGAAAAACUGUGGCAAUCUACAUUGGUGGUGGCAAACACUGACAGAAAAUUUCUGGACCAGCAGUGACAUUAAGUUGAAAAUAAUGACAUAUUUUACACUGUACUGAAGAUGUAAUUGCGAAAAUUACUCAAGAAAUAAUAUAUCUCAUUCAGUGAUUUGUUGCUGAAUGAAUCCUUGUUUGGAGUUCAGAUGCGAAGGAAUUGUAUCAUGAGAGCGCAACAUUACUGAAAGGAUUUUCUUCAAACUUUCACACGUGAACAAUCUUGACUGGUAGAUACAACUACAAUUACAUUGCAUUCAAAAUCAGUGGCACAGAAACUGAUUCUUGUUGGCCUGCGUUACUUAAGUAAAGGUGAUUUUUUUAUCAGAGACUGCAGAUAUUCAUGGCAUAAGCAAAGCUGGCGCAGCAGUUGCAGUUGAUGAAUUCGUAACUGCUCUGAACAGACGUGUGGAUAACAUAAGAUUCCCUUUGGAUGGACAAGAUCUGGGCAGUGUGAAACUGAAAUUCUUUCGGAAAUGUGGUUUGCCGAAUGUAGUUGGUGCCAUUGACGGUAUGUUUAGUGCCUAUCAUUUCACCGGUUAUGCACCCCGACAUCUUUAUGUGUAGGAAGGGCUACUAUGCACUCAAUGUCCAGGCGGUGGUGGACAGUGAUAUGAGGUUUAUUGAUGUGGUAAGCAAGUGGCCAGGCUCUCAGCAUGACUUUGCCAUAUUCGAAGCUUGUGGUUUGAAGAGAUAUCUGGAAGAAAACAAUGUUGGACACCUGCUUGGUGACAGCAGGUAUCCAUUGAGGCAACACUUAUUAACACCGGUCAUACAACCAGCUGACCAAAGAGAAAAAGCAUAUAAUGUUGCCCAUGCAAAGGGUAGGGGAGUUAAUGAAUGUGCAUUUGGCGUUCUGAAAGCAAGGUUCAGAACACCUACACUGCUACAAAGAUCUCUAUCCCAAUUCCACAGUCUACAUUUCAAAUUCAAGGCAAGUUUAAGGUCACAGUUAAUCUGUCAGAGCAAAAUAAGCCAGUAGGCUGUUUCACCAUGGGGUUUUGUCUGGGAUCCUGUACAUAAGAUUGAAGCACGAGUAUUACUUGCACUGGACCCAGGUCCAUCCAGCUAGAAACCAAAAUUACUAAAACUUCAUUAUUUGCUUCGUGUUUUAAACUUUGUUUGUGAAUGUGUUUUUUACCUUAACUGUUAAUGAUGGAUAGUGAAAUUUUAUGAUGGAAUAUGUUCAAUUCAUUAUCAUGAUUAAUUUUGUACAAAUAUUUGUAAAACAUUAAAAAAAAUACUCGA